UCUCAGCCAUGCUUAGCAAGAAGCUGCAUA
rnacentral:piRNA from 1 species